UGAGAAUCCGCAAACCUUGAAACAGUCGUUAGCCGGAGUUCCUCAAAUUUGAAUGAAAGUAACGAACGUUUCUUUGAUAAUAUAAUAAAGAGUCCAAUGAGGUCAAGGUGCAAUAAUGGAAGGUAGUGACACGCAAUUGUUCAAACUGUGUCCCGUUCACUAUCACUAUGACAUAGGCAAAGACGAUGGUAGACCUGAUUUAAAGAUUUUUCGAUCAUCUUCGGACUUAUACAAGUGAUUUCAUAUCUAAUGGAGGAUAAAAUCAGGUAAUCUAGAUGGCCACCCUAUAGAUUCACGUCUUCCAAUCCACCUUCUUUGAAAUUGGUUAUCCAGAAGUCUUCGAAUAUUGGGACCAUAAUGAGGUUUCAACUAUUAUUGGAUCCGAAAAUGCCGCAAUUCCGAAGAUAUUCCAAUUGCUUUGUUGCGCGAAAGAAAUAGGACCAAUAGAUCUUACUUAACCAUCUAAACAAAACCCGCGUGAAGUUAUCCAUGGAUUUCUAUCACGAAUAUUUUUUCACAAAAUAAACUGAACUUUUGCGAAAUAAUGUUGCUAGAGGACACAAAUUAUAACAUUAUAAUAGGCUAAAUAAUUUUACUAACAAAAAUUUGAAGAUUAAAAGGAUAAAAAAAGUUUUCAGACAUGUUCACUUAAUUGAGAAACAAUUAACCAAAAAUAGUAAUGUAAGUAUUUUUUAUAACCCAAAAAAAUUCGUAGAAUUAACGAUUGAGCGCUGGCGCUUCUCCAAAUUUCUUUCAACUAUUGCGAAUGAUACUUAAUGAGUAAUCUAUUAUCAAACAAUUGUAAUGUAAGUACGCCAAACAAAAAUGUGUGGAAUUUCCAUAUCUGAAACUUUUUGUAAUAGAUAACCUAUACCAUAGGAUAAAAAUUUUUAUUCGAUAUUAAGUGUUCUCUGCAAUAGUUGAAGUAAAUUUGGAGAAAUUUUAGGGAUUCGAUAUCAAAAUGAACGAUGUGCGUCAGCGCUCCAUCGUAAAUUUUACGAAUUUUUUUUGGCAUUAUAAAAAAUACUUACAUCUCAAUGUUUGGUCAAUUGUUUUUUAAUUAGGUAAAUUUUGUAAUGGUUAAGUAAUUUCUUAUUUUUUGGUUCAGAAUCGUGAAAUAUGUACAAAAAUACAUGUUUCAAAAAUGUUUUCCACUUAACAAACAAACAAAACUUAGUUCAUCCGAAAAUAAUGCACUAUUGAGAAAAUUUCGAUUUCCAUCAUAAUGCCUAAUGAAAAUAUCACAAAAUUCCAAACUUCUGCCCUGUUCAUUUCCUGAGAGUUCGUGAGCAAGUUGAGCUUUUCGUAAAGCUGCAUUUAACUUUGCAUCGUUGCUUAUUCCUGAUCUUCUCGUUUCAUUAAAUUUUGCAACAAUUCUGCUUACUGUGUUUCGUCAAAUAAAGCACAUGCUUCUUCAUGACUUCAACAAUCGUCGUAACCUAUCAUCAUUAGAGUUUCUAUCCUUUCUUUUUCGAUUAAGUGAGCCAUAAUAAUAAAAUUUGUAUAAAAUCAAUUGUAAUACUAACACUGACAAACAAUUGUAUCAAAACAAUUGACAACAUUGAUAAAAACAGAUCUUAUUACAAGGUAACUGUAAGUUUAAUUUUUUUGAAUAUGUAGUUUUUUUCAUAAAUUCAAAAUAAGUUUAUUCUCUCAGCUUAUUCUUAUGUGACAUGUUUUUGCAUUUUUUUUCACAAAUGAACCUUGUAAGGAAGUGUAAGUUAUCGUCUUCUGAGAUAAACUAUAAAGGUAAACAGUUUAACUUGGUUAUCGAAACGCGAAUCAGACAGAAAUUCCAGAAAUUCCGGCUUAACUUUUUGCAUUUGUCGUAUAAAUAACUAUUUUAUUUUCCAUAAACCUAAUAGAAACGUAGUAAACACCUUCGCCUUCAUAAAAUUUACACAUCUCAUAGACUUAUGGUUGUACUUACCAAAUGGUAAUUGAUAGUAUUGGACACGAUAUAAUAUAUACAUGUGCUAUAUUGUGAAAAGGAGUCCACAUUGGUGUUGCUAAGAUUGCGUACAGCGAAAAUUUCUUAUAGCUGGAAUUUAACGAAAAUUGCGUACUGCUCGCCAGGUUUGACGAAGAGGAGACAAGGCCACACCAUUGAGGCGGUGGAACAUGGCAGGUGAAGAAAGCGUACACCAACAAGAACCACGCCUAGCUGUUGACUAGAAGCAUUCGACUUAAUCAAUACAUCAGUUCUCACUGAUUACAUAAAACUUAUUAUUUAUAUUGAGUAGUACAACUAACAAUUGAUACACCAGAUAUAAUAUUUAAAUGUCGUUAAAUAAAAAUAAGUUAGGGUAGGUUUUCUUCGCCUGUCAAGCCUUGUCUCACCCUCGUCAAACGUCAACAUGCUGUACGCUAAAUUCCAGUGGAAAAUACACAAACUUCGUGUAUUUUCCACUUUAUCACUAUAGUUGCCAUUUUCCUCACUCCAUCACGUUUUAUUACCUGUAUCUAGGUAUCUACAGCUCUCGAUACAACCAGGUAUGCUGAAUCUUAUUAUACUACCUGUAUAAAGGUAAAAUUCAACGUACACAAAAGUGAAAUAUUAUUUAAAACGAAUUCAAAUGCACAAACAAUAUUUUUUUAUAUUUCCGUUCCACUAUAAGAUAAAAUAAAUCUGAUAAUAGCUAAUUGCUUCAUGAUUACAAAUUUAUUAGAUGUUUGGGUCCAAAUUUGGAUUUAUAGACCAUUAGUUAAGCUUACCAAGUGAAAGCAAUAAAAAUAAAGUAAAUUUUUGUGAAA